rnacentral:rRNA from 1 species
AGAAGAGCGGAUGGUGGAUGCCUUGGCUCUGAAAGACGAUGAAGGACGUGAGAAGCUGCGAGAAGUUGUGGUGAUUAGCGAAUAAAAAAAUGAUCCACAAAUUUCCGAAUGAGGGAACUCGCUGAAUAUGAAAAUUCAGCCUAAUUUUGAGGGAAACCUGGAGAACUGAAACAUCUAAGUAACCAGAGGAAAAGAAAACAAAAGUGAUUCUGUAAGUAGCGGCGAGCGAAACCAGAAAAGCCCAAACUAUUAUUUGCUAUAAUGGGGUUAGAGGACUAUAAGAUUGAUUAAUUAUUAUAUAAUAGAAUAUUUUGGAAUAAAUAUCCAUAGAAGGUGAAAGACCUGUAUAUGAAAUAUAAUACUAACAGAGUAGGAUCCUGAGUAAAACGGGACACGUGAAAUCCUGUUUGAAUUUCCCAGGACCAUCUGGGAAGGCUAAAUACUUGUCAGAGACCGAUAGUGAACUAGUACCGUGAGGGAAAGGUGAAAAGAACUUCGAAGAGAAGAGUGAAAGAGAUCCUGAAACCAUACGCUCACAAGCAGUCGAAGCUUUUUUAUAAAGUAACGUCGUGCCUUUUGCAUAAUGAACCUACGAGUUAAUUAUUCCGGCAAGGUUAAAUAAUUAAGUUAUGGAGCCGGAGCGAAAGCGAGUAUGAAAGAUGCGAUGAGUCGGUAUAAUUAGACGCGAAACCGAGUGAUCUACCCAUGGGCAGGUUGAAGCGAUGGUAAAACAUAGUGGAGGACCGAACUGGUAAACGUUGAAAAGUUUUCGGAUGACCUGUGGGUAGGAGUGAAAGGCUAAUCAAACUCGGAGAUAGCUCGUACUCCCCGAAAUGCAUUUAGGUGCAGCAUUGUGUAAAAAUAUUACAGAGGUAGAGCUACUGAUUAGAUGAGGGGACUUCAUCGUCUACUAAUUCUUGACAAACUCCGAAUGCUGGAAUAUGUGACACAAUAGUGAGGGCCUGGGUGCUAAGGUCCAGGUCCGAGAGGGAAACAACCCAGACCAACAGCUAAGGCCCCAAAGUAUAUACUAAGUUGAAGAAACGAAGUUCAUUUACGAUGAUAGCUAGGAUGUUAGCUUGGAAGCAGCUAUUCAUUUAAAGAGUGCGUAACAGCUCACUAGUUUAGUGAUUGAGCAUGGAUAAUAAUCGGGCAUAAGUAUAUCGCCGAAGCUAUGGGAUUUUAAAAUCGGUAGGGGAGCAUUGUAAUGACAGAGAAGUUAUAUUUAAAAAGAUAGUGGAGUGAUUACAAAAGAAAAUGUAGGUAUAAGUAACGAUAAUGCAGGUGAGAAACCUGCACACCGAAAGACUAAGGUUUCCUCAGCUAUGUUAAUCAACUGAGGGUUAUUCGGAACCUAAGGUUAAACCGAAAGGUGGAAUUGAUGGAUUACUAUUUAAUAUUAUAGUAUAUAUUUAAUAUUAUUGUCAUGAGGUGACGAAGUGAUGAAAUUGUCGCGUGCUGCCGGAAAUGCACGUUAAAUUGGUUAGGUAGAUUAUAUAUAGGAAAAUCCGUAUAUAUUAACUAAACUGAAAGAGUACCAGAACUUUUAAAAAAAAAAGUUAACUGGAAAGGAGAACUAAUAGCUUCCAAGAAAACCCUCUAAACAAUUUGAAGAUUGAAGAUUGAAGAUUGAAGAUUGAAGAUUGAAGAUUGAAGAUUGAAGAUUGAAGAUUGAAGAUUAUUGAAGAUUCCGUACCAAAACCGACACAGGUAGUUGGGGUUAAGAUCCUAAGGUGCUCGAGUGAAUCACGGCUAAGGAACUAGGCAAAAUAAACCUGUAACUUAGGGAAAAAGGUUGCCCUCAAUUUUUUAAAAUUAGAGGGCCGCAGUAAAAAGGUCCAGGCGACUGUUUAUCAAAAACACAGGGCUCUGCUAAAUUGAAAGAUGAUGUAUAGGGUCUGACACCUGCCCGGUGCUGGAAGGUUAAGGAAGGAGGUUAACAUAUUUGUAAAGCCUUUAACUGAAGCCCCAGUAAACGGCGGCCGUAACUAUAACGGUCCUAAGGUAGCGAAAUUCCUUGUCGGGUAAGUUCCGACCUGCACGAAUGGUGUAACGAUCUGGACACUGUCUCGGCCGUAAGCUCGGUGAAAUUGUAGUAUCGGUGAAGAUGCCGAUUGCUCGCAAUGGGACGAAAAGACCCUGUGAACCUUUACUAUAGCUUCGUAUUGAUUUUGAUUACUUAAUGUGUAGGAUAGGUGGGAGACUUUGAAACAUUAUCGCUAGAUAGUGUGGAGUCAUCCUUGAAAUACCACCCUUUAUUUAAUUGUAAUCUAACUUAAAAAAGAAUAAGGACAUUGCGUGGUGGGUAGUUUGACUGGGGUGGUCGCCUCCAAAAAAGUAACGGAGGCUUCCAAAGGUGCCCUCAACACGUUUGGUAAUCGUGUAUAGAGUGUAAUGGCAUAAGGGCGCUUGACUGUAAGACUUACAAGUCGAACAGAUACGAAAGUAGGGCAUAGUGAUCCGGUGGUUCUGUAUGGAAAGGCCAUCGCUCAAAGGAUAAAAGGUACUCCGGGGAUAACAGGCUAGUCUCCCCCAAGAGCUCACAUCGACGGGGAGGUUCGGCACCUCGAUGUCGGCUCGUCACAUCCUGGGGCUGAAGAAGGUCCCAAGGGUUGGGCUGUUCGCCCAUGAAAGUGGCACGCGAGCUGGGUUCAGAACGUCGUGAGACAGUUCGGUCUCUAUCUAUUGCGAGCGUUAGAAGCUUGAGUGGAUCUAACUCUAGUACGAGAGGACCGGGUUGGACGAACCUAUGGUAUAUCAGUUGUAUCGCCAGGUGCAUUGCUGAGUAGCUAUGUUCGGAUAAGAUAAGCACUGAAAGCAUAUAAGUGCGAAACGAACCACAAGAUGAGGCUUCUUUUAAGGGUCGUUGAAGAUGACAACGUUGAUAGGCUAUAAGUGUAAAGAUAGUAAUAUAAGAGCUGAGUAGUACUAAUUCCCCGUAAGCUUCUAAAU